GAUGAACGCUGGCGGCGUGCCUAAUACAUGCCAGUCGAGCGAACAGACGAGGAGCUUGCUCCUCUGACGUUAGCGGCGGACGGGUGAGUAACACGUGGAUAACCUACCUAUAAGACUGGGAUAACUUCGGGAAACCGGAGCUAAUACCGGAUAAUAUAUUGAACCGCAUGGUUCAAUAGUGAAAGACGGUUUUGCUGUCACUUAUAGAUGGAUCCGCGCCGCAUUAGCUAGUUGGUAAGGUAACGGCUUACCAAGGCAACGAUGCGUAGCCGACCUGAGAGGGUGAUAGGCCACACUGGAACGGAGACAGGGUCCAGACUCCUACGGGAGGCAGCAGUAGGGAAUCUUCCGCAAUGGGCGAAAGCCUGACGGAGCAACGCCGCGUGAGUGAUGAAGGUCUUCGGAUCGUAAAACUCUGUUAUGAGGGAAGAACAAAUGUGUAAGUAACUAUGCACGUCUUGACGGUACCUAAUCAGAAAGCCACGGCUAACUACGUG
rnacentral:rRNA from 1 species